AAACGGGGUCUAAUACCGGAUGAUACUUUUCCCUGCAUGGGGAAGGGUUGAAAGCUCCGGCGGUGCAGGAUGAGCCCGCGGCCUAUCAGCUUGUUGGUGGGGUGAUGGCCUACCAAGGCGACGACGGGUAGCCGGCCUGAGAGGGCGACCGGCCACACUGGGACUGAGACACGGCCCAGACUCCUACGGGAGGCAGCAGUGGGGAAUAUUGCACAAUGGGCGAAAGCCUGAUGCAGCGACGCCGCGUGAGGGAUGACGGCCUUCGGGUUGUAAACCUCUUUCAGCAGGGAAGAAGCGAAAGUGACGGUACCUGCAGAAGAAGCGCCGGCUAACUACGUGCCAGCAGCCGCGGUAAUACGUAGGGCGCAAGCGUUGUCCGGAAUUAUUGGGCGUAAAGAGCUCGUAGGCGGUUUGUCACGUCGGUUGUGAAAGCCCGGGGCUUAACUCCGGGUCUGCAGUCGAUACGGGCAGACUAGAGUGUGGUAGGGGAGAUCGGAAUUCCUGGUGUAGCGGUGAAAUGCGCAGAUAUCAGGAGGAACACCGGUGGCGAAGGCGGAUCUCUGGGCCAUUACUGACGCUGAGGAGC
rnacentral:rRNA from 1 species